rnacentral:snRNA from 1 species
AGCUUUGCGCAGUGGCAGUAUCGUAGCCUAUGAGGUUUAUCCGAGGCGCGAUUAUUGCUAGUUGAAAACUUUACCCAAUACCCCGCCUAGACGACUUGAAAUAUAGUUGGCGACGGCAAUUUUUGACGGUCUCUAAGGAGA